rnacentral:rRNA from 1 species
AUUGAACGCUGGCGGCAGGCCUAACACAUGCAAGUCGAACGAGUGGCGGACGGGUGAGUAAUGUCUGGGAAACUGCCUUAUGGAGGGGGAUACCUCCUGGAAACGGUAGCUAAUCCCGCAUACCAUCAGAUGUUCCCAGAUGGUAUUAGCUAGUUGGUGGGGUAACGGCUCACCAAGGCGACGAUCCCUAGCUGGUCUGAGAGGAUGAACAGCCACACUGGAACUGAGACACGGGCCAGACUCCUACGGGAGGCAGCAGUUGGGAAUAUUGCACAAUGGGCGCAAGCCUGAUGCAGCCAUGCCGCGUGUAUGAAGAAGGCCUUCGGGUUGGAAAGUACUUUCAGCGGGGAGGCGUUACCCGCAGAAGAAGCACCGGCUAACUCCGUGCCAGCAGCCGCGGUAAUUC